CAGCGAGGCGGCAGUUGGCGCUCACACGACGUGCGUGGCGCGGCGAGUCUGAAGCAGGAGCGCCUGGCGGUUCUUCGAAGAUGGCAUUGACUCCGCACCGGUCCGGCCCGCAGUGUGGAUGAUGUCCGCGUGAUGGUGCAAAUCCCGAUGCUUACUGGAGAAGAAGCAAGUCUUACUAUGGCAAGUCACGACGAUGCGUGACGCAGGUUUGACUCAUCGGCUCCUGCUCACGUCAGCUGAUGACGGCGAGAACGAAGACAAGAGACUCGGCUGGGGAAACGUUGCCAAAGGGCUGCGGUGUUGGGGGUGUCGGCUCCGAUAACCCUGAUGAGAAAAGAAGACCAAUCUACACACUGCGUCCACGUUGGACACAGGUACCCACGGUCACUGGAACAAAGUAGUACUGGCUGUUUUGGAGUAGAACUCGCCAGUAAAGUAUUGGCUUCAUUUGCAUAUAAUAUGCAUAUGACGUGGGAACGGAAGCCAAAGCAAAAACAACCCUGGGUGUCCAACUCCUGCCAUGAGGGCAAGUGAUUGGAAUGAUGAGCUUGAGGAAGGAGCUGGUCAAGGCCAUCACCUGCUGGAGAACCAGCCUGGAAGGAAAAGCUGCAGUGCUCGGGCCCUCUGUGGACACGUGACUUGCAGCCAUCCACCCUAAAAUGACGUGUCACCAACUCCUUGAAAAUAAAAGGUUUGUCUAUAUGUGUCCUGGGAUUGGCCGGCCACCAGACCAGGGUGUACCCCGCCUGCAGGAGAUGCUGAGCCAGGUGAAGUCAGCACACAGCAUUCCAGCAGCUUUCCAAAGCUGCCGCCUGGCUAUGGAGGAGUCAUGCACAACAAAAGGCCAUUCUGGUCUUUCUCACAAAACAGUCUGGGAGAGAUAAAUAAAGCUUAUCAAGCCAAAGUGAUGCUUGAUAAGGUUUACACAUUGUUUGAAGUUUGUCAUAGGGUUAUUUAUAUUCCAUAGUCAUAUUUAUUACAUUCUAUUUGUAUAAAUGUUGUUACAGUGCUGCUUGUAUUCUCUAAAGGAAGGAGUAAGGCAAGGCGAAGGGAUAAGGGGUAAGGCAAGGAGAAGCGCUCAGGCGUAAGGCAAGGGGAAGGGGUAGAUAAUAAUAAUAAUAAUAAUAAUAAUAAUAAUAAUAAUCUCUUUGUUAAAGGCACACUGUCUUCAUUUUACACAUGAAAGCAUGUGUGUCUUGUCUUUUUCCUUGGGUCAAAGGUAAAGGCCUG